GGACGAACGCUGGCGGCGUGCUUACCCCUUGCAAGUCGAACAGAAAGGCCCUGCUUUUGUGGGGUGCUCGAGUGGCGAACGGGUGAGUAACCCGUGAGUAACCUGCCCUUGACUUUGGGAUAACUUCAGGAAACUGGGGCUAAUACCGGAUAGGAGCUCCUGCUGCUUGGUGGGGGUUGGAAAGUUUCGGCGGUUGGGGAUGGACUCGCGGCUUAUCAGCUUGUUGGUGGGGUAGUGGCUUACCAAGGCUUUGACGGGUAGCCGGCCUGAGAGGGUGACCGGCCACAUUGGGACUGAGAUACGGCCCAGACUCCUACGGGAGGCAGCAGUGGGGAAUAUUGCACAAUGGGCGGAAGCCUGAUGCAGCAACGCCGCGUGCGGGAUGACGGCCUUCGGGUUGUAAACCGCUUUCGCCUGUGACGAAGCGUGAGUGACGGUAAUGGGUAAAGAAGCACCGGCUAACUACGUG
rnacentral:rRNA from 1 species